CAUUAAGAAGGGCUGGGAAAGAAAGUGAAAUGAUUUAUGUAUCAUUUCAGGUUGUGAAAUAAGAAAUUAUAUGGUAAUUCUUCAGAAGACUAAUCCUCAGCAGAAGAAAAAACUAACCUGGAAUAUUUUUACUAUCUCCAUUAACACCCAGAAGACAGUAUAAAAGAAUUGCUGGAGUGUUGAAGAUAAGUGAUUUCUCCAGUAUCAUACAGAUGUCAUGCAUGAAAGACAGAAAUUGAAACCAGUGCUUCUUCUCUCCAAGGCUGGUUCUCUAAACAAUUUGCAGUACUGGCUCUUGAUUUUGCUUGAAGGAACAUAAUGCCAUUUGGAGGAAAACACAGAUGGACAAGCUAACUUUGAAAGUAACAUGCAUUUACCUUAUAUUGGAAACUUCAUGUGAGAGGGACUUUGGCAACUCUGUGGCUUUUCCGGACCUGGCCCUGGAACUUGAGCCUGGAGGAGCUCAGUGUGCGAACUCAGACUGCUUUCCUUGAAGGGACCACAUGGUGAGCAAUAAGGCUAACUCCCCUUUCCUUUGACCUUUCUGAAGGCACUAGCCUCUGAGAAGGCCCCUCAUCUUGGAGGAGGCCUUGUGGCUGGAAGCUGAGCUAGAUUUAAUCUUCUGGGAAGGCCCCUUGGCUGAGAGGCCUCUGAACUCCCCCUGGU
rnacentral:lncRNA from 1 species